rnacentral:rRNA from 1 species
UGAGGAAUAUUGGUCAAUGGGUGCAAGCCUGAACCAGCCAUCCCGCGUGAAGGACGACUGCCCUAUGGGUUGUAAACUUCUUUUGUAUAGGGAUAAACCUACCCUCGUGAGGGUAGCUGAAGGUACUAUACGAAUAAGCACCGGCUAACUCCGUGCCAGCAGCCGCGGUAAUACGGAGGGUGCAAGCGUUAAUCGGAAUUACUGGGCGUAAAGCGUGCGCAGGCGGUUCGGAAAGAAAGGUGUGAAAUCCCAGGGCUUAACCUUGGAACUGCACUUUUAACUACCGGGCUAGAGUACGUCAGAGGGGGGUAGAAUUCCACGUGUAGCAGUGAAAUGCGUAGAGAUGUGGAGGAAUACCGAUGGCGAAGGCAGCCCCCUGGGAUGAUACUGACGCUCAUGCACGAAAGCGUGGGGAGCAAACA